rnacentral:lncRNA from 1 species
GUUUUGUUACCACUUGUGCAAUAUCUGCUCUCGAAAGAAGUGCUGUCACAGAAAAUUAGUGGGAUGGUUUUAAUGCAAGGUUUUAUUAAAUCAAGCAUAUGCAGGACCAGACUGGGAAAACGUGUCUCUGCCAACUUUCACAGAUUUCUAGAUUCAUCAAAUUUAUGACCGAGGAGGGACAUUAAAUCAUCCCGUCUCAUCUCCUCAGUACAGCCCUUCAUUUCCAUCCUUUUACCUGUGUGCUGCAUCUUGCCAUGUGAAUUCGGUGGGAGCACGUCUUCCAGGGAAGCAUCCCAUCUUGAAGAAAUCAGGCGGCGGAGAAUCCGCUGCUUCCCUCAGCAGUUCGUCCGGGUAAUCGCCCUCACUGUUUAUUUCCACUUGUAAUUUGUCUGACUCUCAGCUAUUAAUUCUUGUUCUGCCUUUCACCACCAGGUUAAAGAGCCCUUCAGGACCCAGAUUUUCCUCCUUGUGAAGAGGCUUAGGCAACGUAAUCAGAACGGCUUGCGGUCUUCUUUUUUGAUAAGCUAAGCGAAAAUUAGUGAGCUGAUGAAGCCUCUUGCUGCAAGGUAUUUGGCUUCAGCCUCUGAAUCACUUCUCUGUGUGCUUUCCUCACAAUCUUUUAUUUAUGCAUCAUCCUUUUAGAAACAUGGGACACAAAAACUGCCCAAAUUUCCCUUAUCUGCCCCAUCCAUGCAGACCUCUCCACGGAGAACUCAUUUCAUGCAUGGGUCACUCUGGGUUUCCUUUUUUGCCCCAUUUCCCUCUCAACUUCAUGGUCGGGCUCACCAUUGGGUAACUCUGUCCCUUUGUCCUCAGAUCCCUGCUGGAUCACCCAUUUUGGGGACAAAAAAUGGAUUUUUUUGGUGCUGCAGAGCUUCCCCACUGGCUGGUGCAAACCAUCUCAGCUGCUGGGAGCUGCCUGGAGGCGAGGGAGAAGGGAUUUGGCUGUCUGCAGCCUCUCCACCUGCUUUGCCUUGCACAGCCACCCCACUCCAAAACCUUUGUGCAGUGAGGAUUGCUUGAGGUUUACAACCAGUUGACCUCCACACAGGAAGGGCUGAGGAUGGCAGGGUGUGAGGUUCUCCCUGUACAUCCCUAAACUUUCUCUGCCAGAGUUAAAGUUCUUUUUUUUUUUUUCCCCACUUUUUUAUUUAUUUUAUUUUUUUUUCAAAUUUCUGCUGCAUUCAGCAGCAGACAGCACGUGCUGGUAUGCACUAAGGUAGAGAAUAAAAGAGAAUUUCAAGAAUAAAACA